rnacentral:rRNA from 1 species
AGUGAACGCUGGCGGUAGGCCUAACACAUGCAAGUCGAACGGCAGCACAGUAAGAGCUUGCUCUUACGGGUGGCGAGUGGCGGACGUGUGAGGAAUACAUCUGACUCUACUUUUUCGUUGGGGAUAACGUAGGGAAACUUACGCUAAUACCGCAUACCACCUACGGGUGAAAGCAGUUGAUCUUCGGACCUUGCGCGAUUGAAUGAGCCGAUGUCGGAGUUGCUAGUUGGCGGGGUAAAGGCCCACCAAGGCGACGAUCCGUAGCUGGUGUGAGAGGAUGACAAGAAGAACGGGAAGGGAGAGAAGGACAAGAGUACUAAGGGAGGCAGCAGAGGGGAAUGGUGGACAAUGGGAGAAAGCAUGAUACAGAAAUGCGGAGUGUGUGAAGAAGGCAUUGGGGUUGUAAAGAACUUUUGAGGGGAAAGAAAACCUUGGCUCUGAGACAGUCGGGGGAUGACGGUACCGGAAGAAUAAGCACCGGCUAACUACGUG